UACGGAGGGUGCGAGCGUUGUCCGGAAUCAUUGGGCGUAAAGGGCGCGUAGGUGGCGCAGCAAGCGUGCGGUGAAAGCUCGGGGCUCAACCCCGAGUCGGCCGUGCGAACUGCUGGGCUCGAGCACUGUAGAGGCAGGCGGAAUUCCGGGUGUAGCGGUGGAAUGCGUAGAGAUCCGGAAGAACACCGGUGGCGAAGGCGGCCUGCUGGGCAGUUGCUGACACUGAGGCGCGACAGCGUGGGGAGCAAACAGG
rnacentral:rRNA from 1 species